rnacentral:rRNA from 1 species
AUGCCUUUGGUCGAUAAGUACUCGAGCAAGAUGAAGGGAUGGAAGCCCAAACUUCUGGCACCAGCGGGACGCCUCGCGCUGACAAGUUCAGUGCUCCUGGCGCUUCCCAUACACUUCUCGUCUGUUCUACCCCUACCUGUUUGGGCGAUCAAGAUCAUUGAGCGAAGGUGUCGGGGUUUUGUCUGGAAAGGGGAAGAGGAGACCAACGGAGGACACUGCUUGCUCCCUUGGGCGCAAGUCUGCCGCCCGAAGGAAUAUGGUGGCCUCGGAAUAAUUAAUCUCAGGUACUUUGGUACCGCACUCAGAUGCCGGUGGCCAUGGAUGAGGUGGGAUCAGGUGGAGAGGUCAUGGCUGAGGUUUCCCGAUCAGGUGGAGAAGGAAGUGGCGCAUAUCUUUUCCACAGCCAGCGUCGUAGCUUUGGGGGGUGGCAACACUGCCAAGUUUUGGAUAGACAACUAG